rnacentral:hammerhead_ribozyme from 1 species
GAAUUGCUGAGGAGUCUCAUAGUAGGACGAAACGACCGUCCAGUGU